rnacentral:rRNA from 1 species
GCGGAAGGAUCAUUAUUGGAUUUUCGAUGGUUGAAGCUGGCCUUUCGAGGUAACACGCGCCCGUCGUAUCAUCUACCCUUCUUUUUUGUGCACCACCGUAGUCUUUGACGCCAGUGGAGAAAGUGGAGGCCUAACACGCUUCCGGUAAGGUCAUCAGUGGCCUUUCGCUCUGGGCAGAAGCCUUGUGCUUCGAUAAGACUAAUAUAUAAACGAAUGUAUGUCUAGAAUGUCACUUAUGGCUUCGGCCAUUAACAAAAUACAACUUUCAGCAACGGAUCUCUUGGCUCUCCCAUCGAUGAAGAACGCAGCGAAUUGCGAUAACUAAUGUGAAUUGCAGAAUCCAGUGAAUCAUCGAGUCUUUGAACGCACCUUGCGCCCUUUGGUAUUCCGAAGGGCAUGCCUGUUUGAGUGUCUUUAAUAUCUAUCAACCAUUUUUGUGUGCUUGCAUGCAACUUGGCUUGGAUGUGAGGGUUAUUGCUGGCUUUCGUGGUCUGCUCCCUUUAAAUGCAUUAGUGGAAUCUUCCUGCAGCCGGUCUUUCCGUGUGAUAUACCUUUACGCGGUCUGUACUUGUGGGGAGGCCUGCUCAUAACCGUCCGAAAGGACAAUUUUCUUAAGACAUGACCUCAAA